CUUUUUUCUUGUGGUGCUGCAGAAGAUUCUUGAGAGUCCCUUGGACUUGAAGGAGCUCAAACCAGUCAAUUCUAAAGGAAAUCAGUCCUGAAUAUUCAUUGGAAGGACUGAUGCUGAAGCUGAAGCGCCAAUACUUUGGCCUCUUAAUGAGAAGAGCUGACUCAUUAGAAAGACCCUGAUGCUGGGAAAGAUUGAGGGCAAAAGGAGAAGGGGGCGGCAGAGGAUGGUUAGGUAGCAUCACUGACUCAAUGGACGUCAAUCUGAGCAAACUCUGGGAGAGAGUGGAGGACAGAGGAGCCUGGUGUGCUGCAGUCCAUGCCGUCGGAGAGUUGGACACGUCUUAGCAACUGAACAACAGCUAACUUUAUAAUGUUGCACUCACAAGGUGAUUGAAUUACGGGUUGUUUUGUGGAAAGGACUUCCAAAAGAGGAAGAAGUACAGGUAAUGCAAGAUAAGAAAGAGUGAAGAGGAGCAAAAGUCUUUCUCAUUUGAUGUAGAGCAUUAGAAGAUUGCGCUUUCCUGUCACUACAUGCCCCAUUGCAGACAAACUGCUCCCACCUUGCAGAAUUGGUGGCAUCCUGGGACCUCAGGCAAAAUCAUGUUUCUGCCAAGUCGCUCCACAAUGUAUACACCGUUAGCAGUUACGAGGGAACAAUGUGCCUUCGGGUCAAUAUCCAUUCUAACCACAACAGAAUAUAAGCCUCAUGCUCAGACAGAAAGCAAUGCAUUUGUUCAAAGAUGAAGAAAACAUAAAAGGGGCUGAGGCUAAGGCUGGAGACAGUUUCUGGGCGUUCACAGGUAAGCUGAUACUUUGAGAUUCUUGGAGAUUAGUGUUCUAUCAAACAACAGAACAUCUUUGGCAAGGAGAAACCUAAGGGAUUAAUGGUGAGUUUGGGGUGGGGGAGCUAACCACGAGAGUAUGGGGGACAGAUGUGUGCAGAGGGUGUAAAAGUCAUUCUUCUUGGAGCUGGGAAAAGUUUAGACAUUCUGGGGAUUGAGCCAGC
ensembl:lncRNA